UACGUAGGGUGCAAGCGUUGUCCGGAUUUAUUGGGCGUAAAGAGCUCGUAGACGGUCUGUCGCGUCGGAUGUGAAAACCCAGGGCUCAACCCUGGGCCUGCAUUCGAUACGGGCAGACUAGAGUGUGGCAGGGGAGACUGGAAUUCCUGGUGUAGCGGUGAAAUGCGCAGAUAUCAGGAGGAACACCCAUGGCGAAGGCAGCAAACUGGCCGGCAUCUGACGCUGAGGCGCGAAAGCGUGGGUAGCAAACAGG
rnacentral:rRNA from 1 species